rnacentral:rRNA from 1 species
GUCCUUGCCGUAACGAUGUAUACUUGAUGUAAUUAGGCUCAACCCUGAUUGUGUCGAAGCUAACGCGAUAAGUAUACCGCCUGGGAGUACGCUCGCAAGGGUGAACUCAAAGAAUUGACGGGGCCCGCACAAGCAGUGGAGCAUGUGGUUUAAUUCGAUGCAACGCGAAGAACCUUACCCAGGCUCGAAAUGUAAUGGACGAUAUCAGAGAUGGUAUUUUCCGCAAGGACCGUUAUAUAGGUGCUGCAUGGCUGUCGU